GACGUAGGGCGCGAGCGUUGUCCGGAUUUAUUGGGCGUAAAGAGCUCGUAGGCGGCUUGUCGCGUCGUCCGUGAAAACUUGGGGCUCAACCCCAAGCUUGCGGUCGAUACGGGCAGGCUAGAGUUCGGUAGGGGAGACUGGAAUUCCUGGUGUAGCGGUGGAAUGCGCAGAUAUCAGGAGGAACACCGGUGGCGAAGGCGGGUCUCUGGGCAGUAACUGACGCUGAGGAGCGAAAGCGUGGGGAGCGAACAGG
rnacentral:rRNA from 1 species